AGUUUUGUGGCCUAGUUGAUUAAAGCGUCGGACUUGAGAAUACGGAGUCGUGGGUUCGAAUCCCACCAGAACGC
rnacentral:tRNA from 1 species